AGAAAAGGAGAGAAGAAUGUCCAUUGUCAUUGCAACUUUGGCCUUUUCUGAGUUCUGUCUUCUAAAAAGAGCCCAGAGUAGCUGCUCCUGCCUCAUCACUGGCCCUGCUGUCUUCUUCAUCAGAUCAGUUCUAGAACAUGUCUAACAGCUCAGUGGACCAAAUCACCCAGUUCACGAGGAGAUGCUUCAAACUUAACAAAAAUAUAUAUAAAGCAGGAAAAGAUAAGACUCAGGGGCUGCUCCAAUUUGACUGCGCAUAGCACCAGAACCACAUAGGCUUGUGGUGGGGCCUGAGGAUGUGCAUUUGGCACAAGUUUUCAACAAUCUAAUGCUGCUGGUCCAGGGUCCCCUCUUGAAGAACCACUGCUUUGUUAUAAUCAUCCUGAUCAUCAGGGCACCUGCAACCAAGGAGCUGGGUGUUGCUCAAGGAAAAUCACCCAACCCCACUGACUGCUUUCACUUAAAUUCAUGAUUACAGAUUCUAAAGGAGCCCUCAGUAACUGCCUGGCUGUCCUUUUCAAUUUCCCUAGUAAAGUCCCUUUGUCUAUUCUGUACUCUGUCCUCUCUCUGUCUUGCCUACUCUUCAAUUUCAGCAGAUAACCUCACCUCCCACACUUCAGUGAGGAACUAGAGUAGAGGCCAGGAAAUAGGAACUCUCUUCCCAAUGGUGCUUGAGGCUCCUCUGACUUUCCUCCUGUUACAAGGGAAAGACAGAUUUCUGUCUGUCACCAGUCAGUCUCCCCUUUGCUCUGCAUCCCAUCAGCCUCACCUUUUUUUUUGUUUUUGUUUUUUUUUAAAGAGAGAGUAUGAGAGAGAGAGAAUUUUUUCAAUAUUUAUUUUCUAGUUUUCGGUGGACACAACAUCUUUGUUUGUAUGUGGUGCUGAGGAUCAAACCCGGACCGCACGCAUGCCAGGCAAGCGCGCUACCGCUUGAGCCACAUCCCCAGCCCAAGCCUCACCUUUCUUAGAGCUUUGCUUCUUCAAUCACUCCUUCCUUCUUAUGCUAUUAAUGUAUGUGUUGAUUGGGAUUGUUCCCCUCAUCCCCACCUUUAACCUGCUCUUGGCCCUGUAUUCCCUUCCAGCCACCAUUCCAUUUCUCUGCUCCCAUUUACAAAAAUUCUUGAAAAAGUUGUUGACUCACCAUGUUACCUCAUUUCCCUUUUGCUCUUAAAAAAAGUAUGUGGAGUCGGGUGUGGUGGCUCACACUUUUUUUUAAAAUUAAUUAAUUAAUUAAUUUUUAUUAUUAGUUGUUCAAAACAUUACAAAGCUCUUGAUAGGGCGAUCUGGCUGCAACAUCUGUCACCCCAUUGAUCACCAGGGUUGAUUCGGCUGAUCUGGCUGGCUAGGUGGGUGUCCCCUUCCUCCCUCAUCGCUCCAUGUGCGUCCCUCCCGAAGGCUGCAGCUGCGUGCUCUUUGGAAGAGGACGACCUUCCCUGAUAGAGGAGGACCUUUCUUUGGUCAAGGGUAUACGAGUAGCUGCGCUCCCCUGCUAGAACCUCCAAACAAGCUCUCAAGGUGGCUCACACUUGUAAUCCCAGGGCUCAGGAGGCUGAAGCAGGAGGCUUGAUAGUUCAAAGCCAGCCUCAGCAAAAGUGAGGGGCUAAGCAACUCAGUGAGACCCUGUCUCUAAACAAAAUACAAAAAAGGUCUGGGGAUGUGGCUCAGUGGUUGAGUGCCCCUAAGUUCAAUCCCUGGAAUACCCCCAAAAUAUGUGAAAUAGAUAUUUAUUGAAUAGUAAAUAUUACAUAAGAUACUUGAUAUUUGUUGGAUGUUGUCCUGUGGUCCCUGUCUUCAUGGAGUUCAUGGACAAAACUACAUAUGGCCUGCAGCUAGUGACAAGUGUUGUGCGGAAAGCAGGGUUUUGUGAAUCAGGACAUUCAAGAAAUUCAUACUGAGUACCCACAAUACACCAGGAACAGUUCUAAGCACUGGUAAUACAAUACAAUGUAAUACAAUAGUGAAGAAAGAGAUGAAGGCUCCUGUCCUCCUGUCCUGGAAUUUGUAUUCUAGGGGAAGGAUAUAAGAAAUAGGAAACAACAAUAAAAAGUAAAACAUGUAUAUUAGCUGGUGAUCCAUGCUUUAAAGAAAAAUAAAGCAAAGGGAGUUAAGGAGUAUGACCUGUAAUUUUGAAUAGGGGACUUCCUUGUGCGAACAUCUGGGGAAGAACAUUCCAGGCAGAGAAAACAAUGGGAACAAAGACCUCAGGGCAGAGCAUUCCUGGCUGUUUUGGAGUGAUAGAAGAAAAGGAGGCCAGUCUGCUUGGAGGUAGGGAAGAAAGGGGAAGGAGCAAAGGAGACCAACCAGGGCCAGAGAGAGGCCAGAUUGUGUGGGACAGAGGUUGACAAACUUUUCUCUCCAAAUGCCAGAUAGUAAAUAUUUUAAGCUUUGUAGGCCACAUAUGGUCUCUGUUACAUAUUCUUUUUCUUUUCUUCUCAUUAAAAAAAAAUAAUUUAAAGAAUAAUGUUUAUUAAAAAAAAAUUGGCCUGGGGACAUAGCUUAGUUGGUAGAGUGCUUACCUCACAUGCACAAGGCCCUGGGUUCAAUCUCCAGCAACACACACUCAAACACACACACACACACAUUUAAAAAAGUUAUUACACUUAAAAAUGGUAAAAUCAGGAGGGGAGGAGUAGGGGGGAUAGGAAGGGCAGCAGAAUAGAAUAGACAAUAUGAUUGAUGUAUGUACAUUCCAUUUUUGUAUUAUAUAUCAAAAUACAUUCUGCUGUCAUGUAUGACUAAAAAAAUAAAAAUAAAUUGUAUGGUUUAAAAAAAAGUGGUAAAAUCAUCUUUUCUCCAGCAGUACAAGAAUUUGACCUUACUGUCACCCCUGGGACCUUAUAGGCCACUGUAAAGGUUUUGG